UGUGUUGUUGGGUAGGGGAGCGUUCUGUAAGCCUGUGAAGGUGGCCUGUGAGGGUUGCUGGAGGUAUCAGAAGUGCGAAUGCUGACAUAAGUAACGAUAAAGCGGGUGAAAAGCCCGCUCGCCGGAAGACCAAGGGUUCCUGUCCAACGUUAAUCGGGGCAGGGUGAGUCGACCCCUAAGGCGAGGCCGAAAGGCGUAGUCGAUGGGAAACGGGUUAAUAUUCCCGUACUUGGUGUUACUGCGAAGGGGGGACGGAGAAGGCUAUGUUGGCCGGGCGACGGUUGUCCCGGUUUAAGCGUGUAGGCUGGUUUUCCAGGCAAAUCCGGAAAAUCAAGGCUGAGGCGUGAUGACGAGGCACUACGGUGCUGAAGCAACAAAUGCCCUGCUUCCAGGAAAAGCCUCUAAGCAUCAGGUAACACGAAAUCGUACCCCAAACCGACACAGGUGGUCAGGUAGAGAAUACCAAGGCGCUUGAGAGAACUCGGGUGAAGGAACUAGGCAAAAUGGUGCCGUAACUUCGGGAGAAGGCACGCUGACAUGUAGGUGAAGUGAUUUACUCAUGGAGCUGAAGUCAGUCGAAGAUACCAGCUGGCUGCAACUGUUUAUUAAAAACACAGCACUGUGCAAACACGAAAGUGGACGUAUACGGUGUGACGCCUGCCCGGUGCCGGAAGGUUAAUUGAUGGGGUCAGCGCAAGCGAAGCUCCUGAUCGAAGCCCCGGUAAACGGCGGCCGUAACUAUAACGGUCCUAAGGUAGCGAAAUUCCUUGUCGGGUAAGUUCCGACCUGCACGAAUGGCGUAAUGAUGGCCAGGCUGUCUCCACCCGAGACUCAGUGAAAUUGAACUCGCUGUGAAGAUGCAGUGUACCCGCGGCAAGACGGAAAGACCCCGUGAACCUUUACUAUAGCUUGACACUGAACAUUGAGCCUUGAUGUGUAGGAUAGGUGGGAGGCUUUGAAGUGUGGACGCCAGUCUGCAUGGAGCCGACCUUGAAAUACCACCCUUUAAUGUUUGAUGUUCUAACGUGGACCCGUAAUCCGGGUUGCGGACAGUGUCUGGUGGGUAGUUUGACUGGGGCGGUCUCCUCCUAAAGAGUAACGGAGGAGCACGAAGGUUGGCUAAUCCUGGUCGGACAUCAGGAGGUUAGUGCAAUGGCAUAAGCCAGCUUGACUGCGAGCGUGACGGCGCGAGCAGGUGCGAAAGCAGGUCAUAGUGAUCCGGUGGUUCUGAAUGGAAGGGCCAUCGCUCAACGGAUAAAAGGUACUCCGGGGAUAACAGGCUGAUACCGCCCAAGAGUUCAUAUCGACGGCGGUGUUUGGCACCUCGAUGUCGGCUCAUCACAUCCUGGGGCUGAAGUAGGUCCCAAGGGUAUGGCUGUUCGCCAUUUAAAGUGGUACGCGAGCUGGGUUUAGAACGUCGUGAGACAGUUCGGUCCCUAUCUGCCGUGGGCGCUGGAGAACUGAGGGGGGCUGCUCCUAGUACGAGAGGACCGGAGUGGACGCAUCACUGGUGUUCGGGUUGUCAUGCCAAUGGCACUGCCCGGUAGCUAAAUGCGGAAGAGAUAAGUGCUGAAAGCAUCUAAGCACGAAACUUGCCCCGA
rnacentral:rRNA from 1 species